rnacentral:tRNA from 1 species
GGGGGCGGAUGGGUCCCGGUGGGCUCCGUGGUCUUCAAAACCAAUGGCCCCGGCCCUUCGGUCGGGGUGGUGGGUUCGACUCCCUCCCGCUCCCGCCA